UUAACUUCCCGAUUUAUUUGCGCUUUAUAUCAAUGUGUCGCUCGCAAACGGCGCAGUUACAUUCUAGCAUUUGAUGCAAUAAACAGUGCUGUUGUUGAAAGGAACAAUACUCAUUUGUUUUUAAAAAGGAAAGUAAAAGAACAUUGCAAGAUGAAGUUUACAGCGAUGUUAGUCGUGCUUAUGCUGGCAAGUUUACAGUAUGCAUCGUGUGAGGCAACCACUACCGGCGCCACAAUGACUAACCAAACGGGAGCAUCUACAGCCAAAAGUGGAGCCACGUGUGUUGACGUCAGCAUAUUUGCUGCCGUCUUCUUAGCCACGAUCUACGCCAUCACAGCUACCUUGGCCUAAGAAUUGGUUUCCUGUCAGUCAUUCAAUGCUGUUAAUUCAAAUUACUGUAUGUCAGUAGCAAUUGGUCUCGUGAAUAAUUUCACUCUGUUUUUUACGUGUCACAUUGAUAAAAAUUCUUAAAAAGUGUGUUCAACAAAAGUUAUCUGUUUGUUUUUUUAAAGAAAUUUAAACGUGUAUUUAAGAAAUAAAAAAAUAGCAUUGUCAAAAUUUGUAUAACACGUAGUACCACUUAAAGCAAACGAAAAUAAACGUUACCAUUGUAUUCAAUGUAAGCCUCUUAUUUCUUUCUAUUGCAUAGUCGCUCUUUAACCUUCUUUCAUUUUCUUAAACAUGUUCACGUAUAUGACGAAGGAUGAAUUAGAAUAUUCUCCUCUGAAACUGAUGUUGAUUUAACAUAUAUUACGUGGGAAUGUACCCUGUACUGUUAAUAAUAGUCCUUUCUAGACACUCAGAAGACAUGUUUUAAUAAAAAAGGUACACUCGUAUAA